rnacentral:lncRNA from 1 species
AGUGGAUACCCAUAGAAGCUAGGUAGUUGCAUGGCUAAAGAAAAACUUACUCUCUUUUAGAUCUAGAUUUGAAGAAAAAAUUUAUGAAACAGAUAUGUAAUUCGAUCACAUAUUCAAUUUCAGUAUAAAAUUUAGUAUGCAUUCAAUUUUAGCAAGUGAAGUAGAUUAUAAUAUUUUAUAUUUUAUGUAUGCAUAAUAUAAAUUAAAAAAUAUUUUAAUUUUUUAUUC